ACCUGGGUGGCUCAGUGGUUGAGCAUCUGCCUUUGGCUCAGGUCAUGAUCCUGGGGUCCUGGGAUCGAAUCCCACAUCAGGUU
rnacentral:tRNA from 1 species